rnacentral:piRNA from 1 species
UGCCCAACUGGCUGCCAACGUGGCUGUGC